AAACUUUGCCUCCUCAUAAAUAUUACAAGCUAUUUUAUUUAUUGCCAGGAAAUUAUUCCUGCUUUUUGAAACUCCAGCUAUAUUGCCGAAUAUCUCUGAUUUCUGCUUGCUCAUACCAACUAAAAUCAGUCAUAAUCCCUAAGUAGCCAUGGAAGUCCAGCUCCUACAGAGAUCAUAGAAGAGAGACUUAUAUAUGGCUAAUACUCUUACUCAUCCUGAUACCAUAGGAGACCUAAUACUAUUUGUAUCAGCGUUAACAGUGAACAAAGGUAAUCUGGUAGACCGCGCCCAGCUCCUGAAACAAUCACAGGGAAGAGUUCCCUCUUGUGGUUAGAUAAUACCACUACAAAGGAUGUGUGUAAUGAAUUUCAGGCCUGUUUACAAAACGAAGGAGAGUCACGUGCCGGAACAGGGUAGGAAUUUUGCAGCAAAUACAAGGACGUCCACCUCAGUCCCUAGAGCAAAGCCAUGCAUUCAAAAAGUGCUGAUAAAAUCUGUAUCUCGCUGUUCAUAGGACUGGAAAGGAUGCUUAAAUGCUGAGAGAGCCAGGACUGUUAAGCCUGGAGGAGAGAAGGCUCAGGGGAUCUCAUCAAUGUACGUAAACACCUGAUCAGAGGUUGAGAGAAGGAUGGAGCCAGGUUCUUUGCAGUAGUGCCCAGUGACAGGACAAGACGCCAAGGGCACAAAAAGGAAACACAGGAAGCUCUGCCUGAACAUCAGGAAGCACUUCUUUACAGUGCAGGUGACAGAGCAACGGCACACAUUGCCCAGCGUGGUUGUGGCAUCUCCCUCCGUGGAGGUACUCAGAAUCUGUCUGGACAUGGUCCUGGACAACCUGCUUUGGGUGGAUUAUUGUAACUAGAUUACAAUAUGCAAGACAUUUUAAUUGGGAAAAAAAAAAAAAAAAAAAAAAAGAGUAGUUCUGACACGUUCUUUCUGACAUAAAAUGAAAGAUCAGAAAAAUUAAAGAUUAUAUCUAAAGAUGGACUAUGUAAGCUAGGGAAUCAAUUUCUUUUUUGUUACUUUGUUUUGAUUCUUACUGGAAUUCUUAAACUAGAAUUGCAUUGAUAAAAAUGGCUGUUGAGAUAAGGUAAAAAAGAAAGCACUAGAUUUCCCAUCUCUUCAAGAUUUCAGAUUUUAGAUAAAAAGAUGAUUUUUCUGAGUGAUGUACUUCAGCUAAAAUGGAAUAUUGGGCCUAACGUAUGCCAGGUUUUUGAGUGAAAUUCUGUAACUGGGAAUCAGACAGUAGUUGAAAUACAGUUUCUUCUGGUCUUGAAAGAGAAGGGAAAAAAGAAAAGAGGGAAAGAAGGAAAGAGUAUUCUGCAAUAUUAGCAAAACGUUGAGGAGCCAAACCAAACCAUGGUAUUUGAAGAAAAGCUUAAGUUCUACUACUCAUUGUGAUAGAAAUGAACAGAAGAGAGAAAAAGUGUUUGAACAAGUAUGUAGAAAUAACUUGAACCUUUCAGUAAAUUUUGUUAUUAAGCGGAGAUUUGUAACCUGUCAAACUGACUGAUGCUACUACCACAGGAGUAUUUGUAUAUGUAUAUUACCAACAAUUUCUGUCCAAUUGCAGAAAAGAAAUGAAGCUGAAGAAAAAAAUACCUAUGAUUCAGAAAACAGAAAGUAACACUAGUAUUACAAUAUCAGAUUAAAAAAAAAAAAAGAGAGAGAAAUCUGUUAGUUUAGGUUCUGUAAACUUGUUCUAUGAUGUUCUAUAAACUCGAAGCAGAGACUGCCUAUUCUGUUGAAUUGAGAUGAAUGACUUAUUCAUGACACUUAAUAUCCCAUUCCCUCUUCUCGUUUCCUCACCCCAUUGCAUUCCUCCCUCACUCUGGAAUAGCACGUCUGUUGUGGAAAUACAUCAAGAGACAGCAAGCACAUUUAAUGAUGGUGGACUCUCAAGGAUACUCAGAGUAUUGCAUGUGUUUAUUCAUUAGAAAAUUGCAACCAAAAUUAUUAAAUUCUCAAAUAAAAUUGUGACUGAGUGAUAAAAUCAUACACUUUUGUGCUUCUACUAAUGUUAAGCAAGUUGUUAAGAAUUUAUUAAAAUAGUGCUUUUUUUUUU